rnacentral:rRNA from 1 species
UACGUAGGGGGCAAGCGUUAUCCGGAUUUAUUGGGCGUAAAGAGCUCAUAGGCGGCUGAUCGCGUCGGUUGUGAAAGCUCAGGGCUCAACCCUGAGACGCCAAGUCGAUACGGAUCGGCUAGAGGUAGGUAGGGGAAAGUGGAAUUCCUGGUGUAGCGGUGAAAUGCGCAGAUAUCAGGAGGAACACCGGUGGCGAAGGCGGCUUUCUGGGCCUUACCUGACGCUGAGGAGCGAAAGCUGGGGGAGCAAACAGG